GAUGAACGCUGACAGAAUGCUUAACACAUGCAAGUCUACUUGAACUUCGGUUUGGGUGGCGGACGGGUGAGCAACGCGUAAAGAACUUGCCUCACAGAUAGGGACGACAUUUGGAAACGAAUGCUAAUACCUGAUAUUAUGAUUUUAGGGCAUCCUAGAAUUAUGAAAGCUAUAUGCACUGUGAGAGAGCUUUGCGUCCCAUUAGCUAGUUGGAGAGGUAACGGCUCACCAAGGCGAUGAUGGGUAGCCGGCCUGAGAGGGUGAUCGGCCACAAGGGGACUGAGACACGGCCCUUACUCCUACGGGAGGCAGCAGUGGGGAAUAUUGGACAAUGGACCAAGAGUCUGAUCCAGCAAUUCUGUGUGCACGAUGAAGUUUUUCGGAAUGUAAAGUGCUUUCAGUUGGGAAGAAAAAAAUGACGGUACCAACAGAAGAAGUGACGGCUAAAUACGUG
rnacentral:rRNA from 1 species